AGUGAACGCUGGCGGUAGGCCUAACACAUGCAAGUCGAACGGCAGCACAGUAAGAGCUUGCUCUUACGGGUGGCGAGUGGCGGACGGGUGAGGAAUACAUCGGAAUCUACUUUUUCGUGGGGGAUAACGUAGGGAAGCUUACGCUAAUACCGCAUACGACCUACGGGUGAAAGCAGGGGAUCUUCGGACCUUGCGCGAUUGAAUGAGCCGAUGUCGGAUUAGCUAGUUGGCGGGGUAAAGGCCCACCAAGGCGACGAUCCUUAGCUGGUCUGAGAGGAUGAUCAGCCACACUGGAACUGAGACACGGUCCAGACUCCUACGGGAGGCAGCAGUGGGGAAUAUUGGACAAUGGGCGCAAGCCUGAUCCAGCCAUACCGCGUGGGUGAAGAAGGCCUUCGGGUUGUAAAGCCCUUUUGUUGGGAAAGAAAAGCAGCAGGUUAAUACCCCGCUGUUCUGACGGUACCCAAAGAAUAAGCACCGGCUAACUUCGUG
rnacentral:rRNA from 1 species